AGCUUUAGGGCUAGCGUCAUGUAAAAUAAUCAAUGGGGGUAGAGCUCUGUAAACGACUGGGGCGGGCAACUGUACCCACCGUUAACAAACUACGAAUACCGUUGGUGGUACCAUGGCAGUUAGAACAUCGGGGCUAAGCUCGGUGCUCAAAAGGGAAACAGCCCAGACCAUCAUCUAAGGUCCCUAAAUUAACACUAAGUGGGAAACAAGGUGAAAUUUCUUAAACAGCGAGGAUGUUGGCUUAGAAGCAGCCAUUCAUUUAAAGAGUGCGUAACAGCUCACUCGUCAAGAGAUUUUGCGUGGAAAAUGUAACGGGGCUAAAGUGUUAUACCGAAGAUAUGGAUUUCGUUAUUCCUACGGGUUUAACGGAGUGGUAGAGGAGCGUUCCUAUCGGCAGUGAAGCUCAAUCGUAAGGUUGGGUGGAGCGUUAGGAAGUGAGAAUGCUGGAAUGAGUAACCAUAAGAAAGGUGAGAAUCCUUUCGGCCGUAAGAGCGAGGUUUCCAGGGCUACUGUAAUAAUCCCUGGGUUAGUCGGGCCUAAGCCGAGGCGUAGCAGCGUAGGCGAUGGACAUCAGGUUAAUAUUCCUGAACCGGUUAUAAUUUGUAUACUGUGUACGGUAAAUUAGUCGAAGCGGAUUAUUGGUAUAUAUCCGUCCAACUUAGCGGGAACGCAAAAGGAGUGAAAGUUAAUCUACGGAUUAACGAUUUUGAUGAAAGUACUGGCUAGAAAAGCAGAUAUACGCGUGGUUAUAGCCGCCCGUACCGCAAACCAACACAGGUGCUCGAGUCGAGUAGACUCAGGCUUACGAGCGAACCUUCGCUAAGGAACUCGGCAAUACAGCGACCGUAACUUCGGGAUAAGGUCUGCCCCCACUUCGGUGGAUAUCAGCCGCGUUCACUCAGUGAAUAUUAGGUUAAAGAGUACAUUUUUAAUCACAAAACGAAUUUUCUGAGAUAGAGCAAACGAAUUGUUCUUUUGAACGCGAACCUCUGGCAUCUAACGAUGUGGGGGCCGCAGCAAAAGAGCCCACGGAACUGUUUAUCAAAAACACAGGUCUCUGCUAACACGAAAGUGGAUGUAUAGGGGCUGACUCCUGCCCAAUGCUGGAAGGUUAAGGGGAGCGCUUCACGGUGCGAACUGAAGCCCUAGUCAAUGGCGGCGGUAACUAUAACCGUCCUAAGGUAGCGAAAUUCCUUGUCAGGUAAGUUCUGACCCGCACGAAUGGAGUAAUCAUGUGGGCACUGUCUCAGCGAAGGACUCGGUGAAAGUGCAUUGGCGGUAAAGAUGCCGUCUGUCCGUACCAGGACGAAAAGACCCCAUGGAGCUUUACUACAGCUUUACAUUGAAUAUGGUUUCAACAUGUGUAGCAUAGGUGGGAGACUUUGAAGCAGAUACGCCAGUAUUUGUGGAGUCGCCAGGUGAAAUACCACCCUUGUUGUGAUUGUGUUCUCACGCUGACCGUUAUCCGGUUAGCGGACCGUGUAUGGUGGGUAGUUUAACUGGGGCGGUUGCCUCCUAAAGAGUAGCGGAGGCGUUCAAAGGUUGGCUAACUUCGGAUGGAAAUCGAAGUGAUAGUGUAUGCGCAUAAGCCAGCUUGACUGUGAGGAGUACAUUCCAAUCAGAGACGAAAGUCGGAGCAAGUGAUCCGCUGUACGUACAUUUGUACAUGAAUGUGGGAUCGACAGCGCAAACGGAUAAAAGUUACCCUGGGGAUAACAGGCUUAUAGCGCCCAAUAGUUCACAUAGACGGCGCUGUUUGGCACCUCGAUGUCGGCUCAUCACAUCCUGGAGGGGGAGCACCUUCCAAGGGUUCGGCUGUUCGCCGAUUAAAGUGGUACGCGAGCUGGGUUCAGAACGUCGUGAGACAGUUCGGUUUAUAUCCGGCAUGGACGUAAGGAUUCUUGAGGAGAUUUGUCUCUAGUACGAGAGGACCGAGAUGAACGAACCUCUGGUGUAUCGAUUGUGGCCACCUGCUGCAGUGUCGAGUAGCUAUGUUCGGUUAAGAUAAGCGCUGAAAGCAUAUUAAGCGCGAAACUGACUCCAAGAUUAGGAAUCCCAUGAGGACACAGAAAGAUGAUCUGUUUGAUAGGCGCAAGGUGUAAACCUGGUAACAGGCUAGCCAAAGCGUACUAAUAGUCCAAUCGCCUUUUUAU
rnacentral:rRNA from 1 species